rnacentral:rRNA from 1 species
CCCUUAGAUGUUCUGGGCCGCACGCGCGCUACACUGACAGGACCAGCGAGUACAUCACCUUAACCGAGAGGUUUGGGUAAUCUUGUUAAACCCUGUCGUGCUGGGGAUAGAGCAUUGCAAUUAUUGCUCUUCAACGAGGAAUGCCUAGUAGGCACGAGUCAUCAGCUCGUGCCGAUUACGUCCCUGCCCUUUGUACACACCGCCCGUCGCUACUACCGAUUGAAUGGCUCAGUGAGGCCUUGGGAUUGGCUUAGGAGGGUUGGCAACGACCCCCCAGAGCCGAAAACUUGGUCAAACUCGGUCAUUUAGAGGAAGUAAAAGUCGUAACA